rnacentral:rRNA from 1 species
GACGAACCGUGCGAACGUUGUUCGGAAUCACUGGGCUUAAAGGGCGCGUAGGCGGGCAAGCAAGUCAGGGGUGAAAGCCCACGGCUCAACCGUGGAAGUGCCUUUGAUACUGUUUGUCUGGAGGGAGGUAGGGGCGUGCGGAACUUCCGGUGGAGCGGUGAAAUGCGUAGAUAUCGGGAGGAACACCAGUGGCGAAGGCGACUACCUGGCCUGUUCUUGACGCUGAGGCGCGAAAGCUAGGGGAGCAAACGGG